GGCAUAUUUUGCCCAGGCGGAGCUCGACCGCCCGUCCAAACGAUGAUCGCGUUUAUCGACGAGCAUCGCAACGAUUAUGGGGUCGAGCCGAUCUGCCGUGUUCUGCCGAUCGCCCCA
rfam:Croceicoccus naphthovorans strain PQ-2, complete genome.